rfam:Oceanibulbus indolifex HEL-45 1103467007066, whole genome shotgun sequence.
AUUGCUGAAGCGUGGGUUGUAGUUGAUGAAGGCAAAGCCGCGCGCUUGGUCAAUGCUGUGAAACAGCGGAUUCCAGUCGAACAUCGCCAGCAUAUAGCCGGGCAGGGAGUUGGCCAGAAACAUCUUGCCCGAGGCGAUCAUAUUGGCCCGCUG